rnacentral:rRNA from 1 species
AGAGUUUGAUUAUGGCUCAGGAUGAACGCUAGCGACAGGCCUAACACAUGCAAGUCGAGGGGCAGCGCGGAGUAGCAAUACUUUGGCGGCGACCGGCGCACGGGUGCGUAACAGGUGUGCAAUCUGUCCAUAGUCGGGGGAUAGCCCGGCGAAAGCCGAAUUAAUACUCCAUGUGUCACGAAGGGGCAUCCCUUUGUGAUGAAACGUAAGGACUAUGGGUGAGCACGCUUCUGAUUAGGUAGUUGGUGAGGUAACGGCCCACCAAGCCGACGAUCAGUAGGGGUUCUGAGAGGAAGGUCCCCCACAUUGGAACUGAGACGCGGUCCAAACUCCUACGGGAGGCAGCAGUGAGGAAUAUUGGUCAAUGGACGAGAGUCUGAACCAGCCAAGUCGCGUGAAGGAUGAAGGUUCUAUGGAUUGUAAACUUCUUUUGUCCGAGGGUAAAGUGUGGGACGUGUCCCAUUUGGCAAGUAUCGGACGAAUAAGCAUCGGCUAACUCCGUGCCAGCAGCCGC